rnacentral:rRNA from 1 species
CCUACGGGUGGCUGCAGUGGGGAAUAUUGGGCAAUGGGCGCAGCCUGGCCCAGCAACGCCGCGGGGAGGGAGAAGGGUUUUGGGGUGUAAACUUCUUUUAAGAGGGAAGGGCAGAAGACGGUUACUCUUGAAUAAGGCACGGCUAACUACGUGCCAGCAGCCGCGGUAAUACGUAGGUGGCAAGCGUUGUCCGGAUUUACUGGGUGUAAAGGGCGUGCAGCCGGGAAGACAAGUCAGAUGUGAAAUCCCGCGGCUCAAACGCGGAACUGCAUUUGAAACUGUUUUUCUUGAGUACCGGAGAGGUCAUCGGAAUUCCUUGUGUAGCGGUGAAAUGCGUAGAUAUAACGAAGAACACCAGUGGCGAAGGCGGAUGACUGGACGGCAACUGACGGUGAGGCGCGAAAGCGUGGGGAGCAAACAGGAUUAGAUACCCCAGUAGUC